UCUACAGGAAAUUAUGUCUGGUGAGAUCAGUUGUUUUCUUGUUAAUGUUAUGGCUGUGCUAUUCUAAUGUACUUGCAUGUAAUGAUGAUAAAAUACUGUUUUGACAGUUUUUUCUGCACUAGAUAUGUAAUAUUUGUAUAUCUACGUGUCUUUCUGUACACUUGCUCUGUGUUCAUUUGCCUGCAGGCUGCUCAGAAACCUCAGCACUCGCACUGAAACAGAAAGUUUUUCAGAUUGCUCGUGAUCUUAACAAUCUCGCUGAUAAUCUUCCAGAUGAGCUUGACUGCGUGACCAGUGCUGCGAGACUAGUGGAUGAUCUGUCUCAGACCGUUGCAUCUCUAAGAUGCGUUUUGUCGAAUGGCAGCAAACCAUUUGAUCCGUCAGUUGAAGAAACUAAGACUAAGCCACAGAACCAAGACCAGAGCCAUAGUCAGUCUGAGGAAGACGCUGGCAGGCACACAGAGAGAGAGUGUGUGAUGUCUCUGGAUAUCUCUGAGUAUGAGCUGCAGAUGCUGGAGCAGCAGGCCAGACAUGAGCAGCUGGAGGAAGAGUGUAUCUUAGCUUUCCAGACUCAGCAGGCAUCAGCCCCCAAGAACUCUGAUGACAUGGAGAGUGAUGAAGAUUUUGAUGAUGAAAUGAUGAAGUGUGCUGCUGACAUAGAAAGAUUAAAUGGUAAACAUGGUCAUGAGAAACAGGAGCUCGUCCCACGGUCUGGUGCUGAAGAUGAUGAUGAGGAUGUUGAGGAAGAUGAGGAAGAGGGGUUUGGUAAAUUUACUGUCUUUGAUCCUUGAACAUAAAUAGCCUUCCAAAAUGUAUAUACAGUUAUAUAUUUUUUGUCAUGUAAACUUUGACUAAAAACGUGUCUUGUUUAGCUUGAAUAUUCUUCACAUUAUAUAUUUAUAUAACGUGAAUAGCAUUCAAGCUGAACAAGACAAGUCUUCUGCAGUGAGUGUGUGUGUGUGUGUGUAUAUAUAUAUAUAUAUAUAUAGUAGUAGUAGUAGUAGUAAGUAGUUGAACAAGAACAAGUACUUCUUGCAGUGAGUGUGUGUGUGUGUGUGUAUAUAUAUAUAUAUAUAUAUAUAGAUAGAUAGAUAGAUAGAUACAGUGCCCUCCAUAAGUAUUGGAACAGCAAAGACAAAAUUGUUCUUUGCACUGUGGAGUCAAGAAAUCUGUAAAUAUGAUUAAAAGAUGAAUAUGAGACAGAACUACAGAAUGUCACGUUGUAUUAUUGGAUGAUUCAACACAAAGAUGUUUUACCAGCUAAGAAGAUCAGCACUUUUAGGCUGCAUUUACACUGCAUGUCUUGAUACCCAAAUACGAUUUUCUGACUAUAUCCGAUUUUUUUGACGACCUGCUUACAUCAUCUUUUAAAAGUGACCCGUAUCUGAUUUUUGCAUUUACACUAUACACUGCUGAAACUACCAAACGUAAACAUUCUGACCGGGACAAGGAAGUAAAACAGCACGAAAUACAAUGGAUGCAGAUGCAAAUAAAAUUAUACAGUGUUUUGCUUUCCACAAUAUUUUGAAAAGUCAACAAAAAAAAUCAACAAAACAUUGGUCUCGUACGGCGGAGAAAAAAGCGCUUAAACCGUGCCUCCCCAUAUCUCGUGAAAUGUCUUCAAACAGAUUUAUUUCUGUAACAACCCUGCAUUUUUGCCUGCACUGUCUCUUCGCCCCAAAGACUUAAAAGACAUGAAACCUCCACAUUGCUCCACUGUGUGUAUCCUUCGUCCUCCAUCGCGCCUAUAAUAAGUCUUGUGAUCUCAGUUGGUGUUGUCCACCUGAGUUGACGUCACUUUUUUAAUGACGUACGACUCGCAUUUACUGGGGAAUAUCCUAUUUGUCUGCUUACAUGGCACACGCAAAUGCACGUAUCUGAUUCAUAUCCGAUUUAUUACCACAUAUGAAUGAGGCCUGAAUCCGAUCUGAGAAAAUCGGAAUCCAUGCGGUUUUUUCCUGCUUACACGUUCACCGGUCAUAUCCGAUCUGUGCCACAUGAGAGGAAAAAAUCGGCAUUAAUUCUUCAGAUAUUAAAAGCAGGGAAUGUGUCUCAUCAGUUAUAUCCAUUGCUUCUGCAUUCUACGUCUUGCAUUCGACGAUGACACACACAAACCAGGAUAAAGAUGAGGAAGCUGGCUCUGAAAGAAAAGCAAGCAAUUUGGAUGCUAAAAGAAAAAGAGGAAGUCAAUUAAAACUAUAGUAAAAACAAAGGGCAUGGAGAAAUCAAGAGUUUGGAAACUAACGGCGACAACACCAACCAACGACGACCUGAUCUGCUGAGAAAAACAACAGUAGUUGAUGACAGACAAAUCAUAAAAGCUGUGAAAAUUCAUGUCUGUAAAAUCACCAACAACCUCCAGAAAGCUGGGGUGAUGCUCUGUCAAUCUACAAUCCGCAGGAGAAUUUGACGCAGAAUUACAGAAACUACUCAGCAAGAUGCAAACCUCUGAUUAGCACCAAAAAUAGAAAGGCAAGAUUCUUCACAAAUGUGAGCCAGUAGAGUUUUGGAACUGAGUUGAUGGACCGAUGAUACAAAAAUUAACCUUUAUCUAAGUGAUUGGAAAGCAAAAGUGUGGAGAAAAAAGGGAACUGCAGUCAUCAAGGGUACAAAAUCAUCUUGGCUACCAAUAUUCAAGAAAAUGCCACCAAACUCAUUAGAAAGCACUUCAUAUUGGAUCAGGACAAUGACCCAAAACACCCUGCCAGUUCAGUCAAGGGCUUUAUCAGGGCAAAGAAAUGUAAAGUCUUAGAUUUCCCAAAUCAAUCUCCAGAUUUAAAUCCGAUUGAACAUUAAUUUUACCAGCUGAAGAGGAGACUAAAG
rnacentral:lncRNA from 1 species